rnacentral:tRNA from 1 species
GGAAGGGUGGCUGAGUGGUUAAAGGCACCUGACUCGAAAUCAGGAGUAGUCGCAAGGCUACCGUGGGUUCGAAUCCCACCCCUUCCGCCA